rfam:Trichobilharzia regenti genome assembly, scaffold: TRE_scaffold0014734
GUACUGCUGAAGAGUCUCAAACUAGGACUAAACAGCUUUCCAGUAC